rnacentral:rRNA from 1 species
ACUGCGGGAGGGUCAGUAAAACAAUAAUUCAACAUUGUGUCAGAACAAUAACAUCUAAAACCGAUCAUCAAUUAAUUAAUUCAAAACUUUCAACAACGGGUCUCUAGGUUCUCGCAUCGAUGAAGAACGCAGCGAAAUGCGAUACGUAGUACGAAACGCAAGUCGUGAAUCAUCGAAUCUUUGAACGCACAUUGCGCUGUGUGGCAUUCCACACAGCAUGCCUGUUUGAGCAAUAUUUCUCUCUCGCAAGGUGUUGGGCACCACGCCGGCAGGCGUCUGCCAGAAACGAAAUUGUCUAAAACAGUUAAGCUUGUUACAGACUCUUGAUCUUAUUCUCAAAUCAGGUAGGGCUACCCACUGAACUUAAGCAUAUCAGAAGGCGGGGGGGAGGGGAGGGAAAAUACCAAAAUUAAAUCACAUUGUGUCAGAGCAAUAACAUCUAAAACCGAUCAUCAAUUAAUUAAUUCAAAACUUUCAACAACGGGUCUCUAGGUUCUCGCAUCGAUGAAGAACGCAGCGAAAUGCGAUACGUAGUACGAAACGCACGUCGUGAAUCAUCGAAUCUUUGAACGCACAUUGCGCUGUGUGGCAUUCACACAGCAAGCCUGUUUGAGCAAUAUUUCUCUCUCCAAGGUGUUGGGCACACGCCCGCGGCGUCUGCCGAAACGAAAUUGUCUAAAACAGUUAAGCUUGUUACAAACUCUUGAUGCUUAUUCUCAAAUCAAGUAAGAACUACCCGCUGAACUUUAACAUAUCUAAAGGCGGGGAAGAAAAAA